GGUGUAGCUCAAUGGUAGUGUGUGUGUUUAGCAUGCACAAAGCACUGAGUUCAAUCCCCAGCACC
rnacentral:tRNA from 1 species